rnacentral:pre_miRNA from 1 species
UAUAAGGGAUUUUGAGUUUUUGCUUGUAACGUUUGACCACUCGUCUUAUUCAAAAUUUUUUAAAAUUAUUAAUUAUUUUAUUUGUGACUUACUUUUUUAUCUACAGUACUUUAAGCAUAACUUUUGUUUUUUAUAUUUAUAAAAAUUUUUUGAAUAAGACGAGUGGUCAAACGUUGCAAGCAAAGACUGAAAAUCCCUUAUA